rnacentral:rRNA from 1 species
CCUACGGGUGGCAGCAGUAGGGAAUCUUUCACAAUGGGCGAAAGCCUGAUGGAGCAACGCCGCGUGCAGGAUGAAGGCCUUCGGGUUGUAAACUGCUUUUAUAAGCGAGAAAUAUGAUGGUAACUUAUGAAUAAGGAUCGGCUAACUACGUGCCAGCAGCCGCGGUCAUACGUAGGAUCCGAGCAUUAUCCGGAGUGACUUGGUGUAAAGAGUUGCGUAGGUGGCAUAAUAAGUAGCUAGUGAAAUCUGGUGGCUCAACCAUUCAGACUAUUAGCUAAACUGUUAAGCUCGAGACCGUUAGGGGUAACUGGAAUGUCUAGUGUAGGAGUGAAAUCCGUAGAUAUUAGAAGGAACACCAAUAGCGUAGGCAGGUUGCUGGGACGGUUCUGACACUAAGGCACGAAAGCGUAGGGAGCAAACGGGAUUAGAUACCCCAGUAGUC